rnacentral:rRNA from 1 species
CGUCGCAUCCUGGGGCUGGAGUAGGUCCCAAGGGUUGGGCUGUUCGCCCAUUAAAGCGGUACGCGAGCUGGGUUCAGAACGUCGUGAGACAGUUCGGUCCCUAUCUGCUGUGGCCGUUGGAAUAUUGAUAGGAGUUGUCCCUAGUACGAGAGGACCGGGAUGAACAGACCUCUGGUGUACCAGUUGUCCUACCAAGGGCAUCGCUGGAUAGCUACGUCUGGAUGGGAUAACCGCUGAAAGCAUCUAAGCGGGAAGCCCACCUAGAGAUGAAUAUUCCCUGAAGAGCCGUGGGAGACCACCACGUUGAUAGGCUUCAAGUGUAAUCAGAGCAAUCUGUUCAGCUGAGAAGUACUAAUCACUCGUUCGAGUUUGAUUGA